rnacentral:tRNA from 1 species
UCUUCAGUAGCUCAGUGGUAGAGCAGGUGGCUGUUAACCACAAGGUCGUUGGUUCAAGUCCAACUUGAAGAG